GGCAAAAGCUCAAAUUUGAAAUCUGGCUCUUUCAGAGUCCGAGUUGUAAUUUGAAGAAGGUAUCUUUGGGUCUGGCUCUUGUCUAUGUUUCUUGGAACAGAACGUCACAGAGGGUGAGAAUCCCGUGCGAUGAGAUGAUCCAGGCCUAUGUAAAGUUCCUUCGAAGAGUCGAGUUGUUUGGGAAUGCAGCUCUAAGUGGGUGGUAAAUUCCAUCUAAAGCUAAAUAUUGGCGAGAGACCGAUAGCGAACAAGUACAGUGAUGGAAAGAUGAAAAGAACUUUGAAAAGAGAGUGAAAAAGUACGUGAAAUUGUUGAAAGGGAAGGGCUUGAGAUCAGACUUGGUAUUUUGUAUGUUACUUCUUCGGGGGUGGCCUCUACAGUUUAUCGGGCCAGCAUCAGUUUGGGCGGUAGGAGAAUUGCGUUGGAAUGUGGCACGGCUUCGGUUGUGUGUUAUAGCCUUCGUCGAUACUGCCAGCCUAGACUGAGGACUGCGGUUUAUACCUAGGAUGUUGGCAUAAUGAUCUUAAGUCGCCCGUCUUGAAACACGGACCA
rnacentral:rRNA from 1 species